ACCUGCGUCGUUUCUCAGCCACCCCGCCCUCCCGCGGCUCUCGGGGGGGGGCGGCCGCUGCGGGGGGCGGCUCUGUCGCCUCUUGCCCACAGGCCCGACUCGCCUCGAGGGGCUGUGGCGGCGGCCGGCUCUGCGAUGGGAUCCUGCCAGCUGCCCUGGCGGGUAAAGAGGAGGAGGUGCGACGUGACGCCAUGUUAGUCACCCCCCUCGAGGUGCUGAGGUAACCCGCCUCCCCUGGACGCUGACGGCCAGGCUGAGGAGAUCCUCCCGGCUGGUUGUAAGCCGGCUCCGCGGCCGUGCGGGUGCAGGCAGUGUGGAGGAAGAAGCUGGCUUUGGUGGGGCAGACCAGAGAGCCGUGAAGUGCAAGAAGCAGCUGUGCAAGAGGACGAGGAGCCGGGGAGGAAGGUCAGGAUGUGCCACUUGUGGGGUUCAGUUGUGAAACACUUGGAUACUGCUGUGAAGAGUCUUAUGGUAAUGAGAGACUGGGAAGUAACAAUUCCUGUAUUCUGUGAAGAGUGAAGUAUUUCAGUGAAGAAAAAAAGCAGGGCAUUAAAAAAAAAAGCCUGAACAAAAGAUUAACAUUGUCAUGAACACAAGCUGAAGUCUUGCAAAGAGUGAAAGAGCAUUCAAAAUGUGUAAUCAGACUGUUUUGUCACGUGACAUCAGUGAUACGAGAUUUAAUUAUGUUUAUAUGGCAGUUUUCUAAUAUUUGAUUCUGCUUCUGUUGUUCUUCCAACACAGAGCUUUAAUAAUUAAAAAAUCAAACAUUUCUGUGGUGCUCAUUUCUGUAUGAAGUAUUUUGUCAGGCUAAACUUUCUUCAGUCAUCUCAUACUAUUAAAUGAUUGCACCACUGCGUGACAUAUGUUCUCUCUCUUUUUGUAUUACGUAAAUACAUUUUUCCUUUUAUGUAAAUGCUUCCUGUACUAAACCUAAUGUGUCUUAAGAAUUUCACCUUUUUUUUAAGUCGCUCUUGACAAAACUUAACAAGCUUGUUGGCUAGCAUCGACAUGAAAAUGAUUUCUCUUUCCAAAGCUUGUCAUCAGCUUUCCCCCUCCAUCUACCAUUUGGGUUUCUUGUAGUGUUGGGCUUCAGGAUUUGACACCAAUGAUGAAAGAAGGGAUUUCAGGAAUAUCAUUCUUCAGUUUGUGAGAUUCUGACUCAACCUGGUGUGAGUUUUCAGUGGAUUAAGUGGAUGUUGAUUCGUGUCAUAUGACUACAGUCAUAAAACUGUAAUCUUGAGCCAUAUCUUGUGAUUUAAGAUAAGAACUAUUUUUUUAACUUUUUUUUUAAACUUUUAACAUAGUAACUGUUUAACCAUGAGUAAUGCAUAUUUUAAUUCCAGACCCUAAGUGAUAAUAUUUGGCAAAAAUAGAGCUAAACUGUUUUUCACCAUACAGAAGAGUACUGAGAGAGUUGUUUGUGUUAAGUCUGGACAUAGUUGUAUGACAGUGUUUUUUGGAUGUUGAUAG